rnacentral:rRNA from 1 species
UGGGGAAUAUUGCGCAAUGGGGGGAACCCUGACGCAGCAACGCCGCGUGAAGGAUGAAGGCUUUCGGGUUGUAAACUUCUUUGAUGAGGGACAAAGAAUGACGGUACCUCAAAAACAAGCCACGGCUAACUACGUGCCAGCAGCCGCGGUAAUACGUAGGUGGCGAGCGUUGUCCGGAAUUACUGGGUGUAAAGGGCGUGUAGGCGGGGAUGCAAGUCAGAUGUGAAAUGCCGGGGCUUAACUCCGGAGCUGCAUCUGAAACUGUGUUUCUUGAGUGUCGGAGAGGAAAGCGGAAUUCCCAGUGUAGCGGUGAAAUGCGUAGAUAUUGGGAGGAACACCAGUGGCGAAGGCGGCUUUCUGGACGAUAACUGACGCUGAGGCGCGAAAGCGUGGGGAGCAAACAGGUUAGAUACCCUGGUAGUCCACGCUGUAAAACGAUGGAUACUGGUGUA